GGGGAGGUCCCCUAGCCUGGUCAAUGGGGUGAGACUCAAGAUCUCAUGGCGUAAGCCUGCCCGGGUUCAAAUCCCGGCCUCCCCA
rnacentral:tRNA from 1 species